GGCUUGGUAGCGGAUGGUCCGCGUCUGCAAGUUGUGGACCGAGUGGUGCAUCGACAGUUUACGCAGAAAUCGUUCGUUCGAUUCGGGCCCAAGCCA